AUAAAAAUGUAAUUUGACCCACCUACUCUAUUUUCUGACAAAAUCAUUCACAAUAUUUAAUUUCUUAAAAAAUCAUUUUUGUUUUUUGAAACGGGCAAAAUGACUUGUCCUGAUUCUUAUCUUCACAUGUGGAUAGCAAAUUAUAAUAAUAAUAAUAAAUAUUUUUCAACUUCGUUUUACUUGGAGAGAAGAAGAAGAAACAGAGUAGAGACAGAG
rnacentral:misc_RNA from 1 species